rnacentral:rRNA from 1 species
UCUCUGCUCCAUACAUGUCCUAAGUGCGCCAGACCUCAUCUGAUCUCAGAAGCUAAGCAGAGUCAGGCCUGGUUAGUACUUGGAUGGGAAAAUAU